UAGGGAAUAUUGCACAAUGGGCGAAAGCCUGAUGCAGCAACGCCGCGUGCGCGAAGAAGGCCUUCGGGUUGUAAAGCGCUUUUCGGGGAGAUGAGGAAGGACAGUAUCCCCGGAAUAAGGCUCGGCUAACUACGUGCCAGCAGCCGCGGUAACACGUAGGAGCCAAGCGUUAUCCGAAUUUACUGGGCGUAAAGCGCGUGCAGGCGGCUUGGAAAGUUGGAUGUAAAAGCUCCUGGCUCAACUGGGAGAGGACGUUCAAAACUAACGAGCUAGAGGACGGCAGAGGGAGGUGGAAUUCCCGGUGUAGUGGUGAAAUGCGUAGAUAUCGGGAGGAACACCAGAGGCGAAGGCGGCCUUCUGGGCCGCACCUGACGCUCAGACGCGAAAGCUAGGGGAGCGAACGGGAUUAGAAACCCUGGUAG
rnacentral:rRNA from 1 species